AUUGAACGCUGGCGGCAUGCCUUACACAUGCAAGUCGAACGGCAGCACGGGAGCAAUCCUGGUGGCGAGUGGCGAACGGGUGAGUAAUGUAUCGGAACGUACCUUUCAGUGGGGGAUAACGUAGCGAAAGUUACGCUAAUACCGCAUAUUCUGUGAGCAGGAAAGCAGGGGAUCGCAAGACCUUGCGCUGAUUGAGCGGCCGAUAUCAGAUUAGCUAGUUGGUGAGGUAAAGGCUCACCAAGGCGACGAUCUGUAGCGGGUCUGAGAGGAUGAUCCGCCACACUGGAACUGAGACACGGUCCAGACUCCUACGGAGGCAGCAGUGGGGAAUUUUGGACAAUGGGCGCAAGCCUGAUCCAGCCAUGCCGCGUGAGUGAAGAAGGCCUUUGGGUUGUAAAGCUCUUUCAGCCGGGAAGAAACGCAUGGGUUAAUACCCUGUGUGGAUGACGGUACCGGAAUAAGAAGCACCGGCUAACUACGUG
rnacentral:rRNA from 1 species